rnacentral:rRNA from 1 species
GGACCUGACUGCUAUCGGAUUGAUACUAAGCCAUGCGAGUCAUUGUAGCAAUACAAGGCAGACGGCUCAGUAACGCGUAGUCAACCUAACCUAUGGACGGGAAUAACCUCGGGAAACUGAGAAUAAUGCCCGAUAGAACACUAUACCUGGAAUGGUUUGUGUUCCAAAUGAUUUAUCGCCGUAGGAUGGGACUGCGGCCUAUCAGUUUGUUGGUGAGGUAAUGGCCCACCAAGACUAUUACAGGUACGGGCUCUGAGAGGAGUAGCCCGGAGAUGGGUACUGAGACACGGACCCAGGCCCUAUGGGGCGCAGCAGGCGAGAAAACUUUGCAAUGUGCGAAAGCACGACAAGGUUAAUCCGAGUGGUUUCUGCUAAAGGAACCUUUUGUCGGUCCUAGAAACACCGAUGAAUAAGGGGUGGGCAAGUUCUGGUGUCAGCCA